GGCUGUAGCUCAGUUGGUAGAGUACUUGCUUUGUGUGCACAAGGCCCUGGGUUCUAAGCCCCAGCACCA
rnacentral:tRNA from 1 species